CCGCUUCAUCACAACUAUGAGGGUAAACGGGUGGGCAGUGGACAGCCCCCACACUCCUCUCUCUCCUUCACACCUCUGUGAGCAUCACACCAUAUAAUGCAGGGCCGGGCUCGUGGGACAGCGGCGGAGUGGAAGGAGUAACCAGAACAGAGCCAGAAGAUGUGGGCUCCUGUCCUGUUUCUGCCACUUACUGGAUCAGGUCAGAGAGGAUUACUUCUCUGAGUCAUCUUCAACCCAAUAAGAUGGGGAAACUGAGGCCCAGAACUACUAAGCUCCUUUUCCAAGGUCACCCAGGUGCAGUUGGAGGAACAGACUCCAGCGGAAUCCUUGGAGCAUCUAGUCGGAAUCCUGCACCUCGCUGGAAGAGGGAGAAAUGCCCUCCCACAUACCCACACCCCCAAUGAACCCCUGGCGGAAUAUAAGAUCGAUUUCCCCUUCUCACUCCCCAUCUCUCAGUCCUGGUCCCCUCCCCGCCACGAAGAAAGUCCCUUCCCCCACCAUGAAGAAAGGCACAAAGUCAGGAAUUGAUGCUGAAU